ensembl:snRNA U2 U2 spliceosomal RNA
AUGGCUUCUCGACCUUUUGGCUAAGAUCCAGUGUAGUAUCUGUUCUUAUCGGUUUAAUAUCUGAUACAUCCUCCAUCCAAGGACAAUAUAUUAAAUAGAUUUUGGAGCAGAGAGAUGGAAUAGAAGCUUGCUCCAUCCACUCCAUGCAUCAACCUGGUAUUGCAGUACCUCCAGGAACAGUGCACCCCCU